rnacentral:rRNA from 1 species
CCUACGGGAGGCAGCAGUGAGGAAUAUUGGUCAAUGGACGAGAGUCUGAACCAGCCAAGUAGCGUGAAGGAUGACUGCCCUAUGGGUUGUAAACUUCUUUUAUAAAGGAAUAAAACGAGGCACGUGUGCCUUUUUGCAUGUACUUUAUGAAUAAGGAUCGGCUAACUCCGUGCCAGCAGCCGCGGUAAUACGGAGGAUCCGAGCGUUAUCCGGAUUUAUUGGGUUUAAAGGGAGCGUAGAUGGGUUGUUAAGUCAGUUGUGAAGGUUUGUGGCUCAAACGUAAAAUUGAAAUUGAUACUGGAAGUCUUGAGUACAGUUGAGGUAGGCGGAAUUCGUGGUGUAGCGGUGAAAUGCUUAGAUAUCACGAAGAACCCCGAUUGCGAAGGCAGCUUACUAAACUGUGACUGACAUUGAUGCUCGAAAGUGUGGGUAUCAAACAGGAUUAGAUACCCGUGUAGUC